UGCGCAGGCGGAAUGAUAAGUCAGUGGUGAAAGCCUACAGCUUAACUGUAGAAUUGCCAUUGAUACUGUCGUCCUUGAGUACAGUUGAAGUGGGCGGAAUGUGUCAUGUAGCGGUGAAAUGCAUAGAUAUGACACAGAACACCGAUAGCGAAGGCAGCUCACUAAGCUGAAACUGACGCUCAUGCACGAAAGCGUGGGGAGCAAACAGGAUUAGAUACCCUGGUAGUCC
rnacentral:rRNA from 1 species